AGGCUKCGACGGGUAGCCGGCCUGAGAGGGUGACCGGCCACACUGGGACUGAGACACGGCCCAGACACCUACGGGAGGCAGCAGUGGGGAAUAUUGGACAAUGGGCGAAAGCCUGAUCCAGCAACGCCGCGUGAGGGAUGACGGCCUUCGGGUUGUAAACCUCUUUCAGCGCAGACGAAGCGAAMGUGACGGUAUGCGCAGAAGAAGCACCGGCCAACUACGUGCCAGCAGCCGCGGUAAUACGUAGGGUGCGAGCGUUGUCCGGAAUUAUUGGGCGUAAAGGGCUCGUAGGCGGUCUGUCGCGUCAGGAGUGAAAACUCGGGGCUCAACCCCGAGCCUGCUUCUGAUACGGGCAGACUAGAGGUAUGCAGGGGAGAACGGAAUUCCUGGUGUAGCGGUGAAAUGCGCAGAUAUCAGGAGGAACACCGGUGGCGAAGGCGGUUCUCUGGGCAUUACCUGACGCUGAGGAGCGAAAGUGUGGGGAGCGAACAGGAUUAGAUACCCUGGUAKUCCWCACCGUAAACGUUGGGCGCUAGGUGUGGGGCUCAUUCCACGAGUUCCGUGCCGCAGCUAACGCAUUAAGCGCCCCGCCUGGGGAGUACGG
rnacentral:rRNA from 1 species